rnacentral:rRNA from 1 species
UAGGGAAUAUUGCACAAUGGGCGCAAGCCUGAUGCAGCAACGCCGCGUGAGGGACGACGGCCUUCGGGUUGUAAACCUCUUUUAGUAGGGAAGAAGCGAAAGUGACGGUACCUGCAGAAAAAGCACCGGCUAACUACGUGCCAGCAGCCGCGGUAAUACGUAGGGUGCAAGCGUUGUCCGGAAUUAUUGGGCGUAAAGAGCUCGUAGGCGGUUUGUCGCGUCUGCUGUGAAAACCCGAGGCUCAACCUCGGGCCUGCAGUGGGUACGGGCAGACUAGAGUGCGGUAGGGGAGAUUGGAAUUCCUGGUGUAGCGGUGGAAUGCGCAGAUAUCAGGAGGAACACCAAUGGCGAAGGCAGAUCUCUGGGCCGUAACUGACGCUGAGGAGCGAAAGCAUGGGGAGCGAACAGGAUUAGAAACCCGGGUAG